CGGUCCCUCUCCUUAUUCUCCUUCUUUCUCAUAAACCCUAUCCGCAACUACUCCUUCUUCUUCUUUAUUCGCGUGGUUUCAUGGGAGAGAUCGCUGAUUUUUUGAUUCGAUUAUAAUCUCACAGGUUCUCUCUUCAAAUUCCGGUCAUAUUGUUGGGUGUUAAUGAACUUUCUCUGAGGAAUUUCUGCCAUUGAAGCAAAGCUAUUGGUUAGGGAUGAUACUGCUGCUGUCGUUGAAGAAUCCCUGAUGAUUUCAAGGAUUUUCCUUUUUGAGGAAGGAAGUGACACACAAUUGAUUCGUCAUUAACUAUCAAUUUGCCAAAGGUGGAAAGCUGCUCAUGACUUUGUUACGGAAGAUGACUGUUUUCACUUUUAUAAGUAAGCUAAAGGAAAUGAUAUCUGUUGUCGUAGCUCAAAUAACAGAGCACAUAGUUCUCAACCAUGGAGUUGUGGGUUCGAUUCCCACGGAUGACACAUAAUUCGGUAGGCUAAAACUUUAAAUUCUUUCGAUGGAAACCGUUGGAUUUGGAGAGUAAUUCGUGACUGUCGGAUUUUGUUUGUUUUUUUUCUAUCGGGAGUUGUUCUGGUCCUUGGUUAGAGUGAUUCGGGUCCGUGGAUUCUAUUUCUCAUCGUGGGUUAGUGAUCUUAGGAUUUCCAUCAGGCGAAUAAAAAAAAGAAAAGAAAAAGAACUGAAAAAAUAUUCCGGGUUCAAAUAUUUCUCUAUUUUUUUCCCUAUCAAUUUCAAUUGAAUUUCGAUUUCAGAAUUACUUAUACAAUGGGUAGUUGCAAUGGGUAGUUGCAACAUGUAAAUUGAAUUCAGAAUCUAGGGUUCUCUUUCGAAUCAACAAGUAAAUUGAAUUCAGCCAUGUUCUCUUUCGAUCUCAACAGGUACACAACCGAUAACUCUUAACCAGGUAUGAAUUUGAUUUUUCCUAUCCUCUUUGCUUUCAAUCUUGAGACUGUAGCUCAAGAUUUUGAUGAUUUUAUUAGGGUUUUAUCUCAGGAUUUCUAUUGUAAUCUAGGGUUUGGUUUUGGGGUAAUCUAGGGUUUGGUUUUGGGAAGAGCAGCUGAGAAUGAGUCUAAAUCGGCAAGAAUGAGAAUGGGUUAAUUGGAGAUGGGGGUUUGAGAGUUCUUGGAUGAUGAUAUGAGUUGGGUUGAGAUAGAUUGGCAACCAGAUGAAGAAAUCGAUCGAGAAAAAAUAUUCCAGGUUCAAAUAUUUCUUUAUUUUUUUCCCUAACAAUUUCAAUUGAAUUUCGAUUUCAGAAUUACUUACACAAUGGGUAGUUGCAAAGCUGUUGUUGGUAUUGCUACCAGAGAAGCUACAGCAAUGAGGCAAUGGAUUCUGGUGUGUGUGCUCUGAGACUUGCAGAGACUGAAUUUGGGAUUGCAACUGUUGGUGAUGGCUGAGCAGAUACAUGUACCUAAAGGUCAUGAUUUGUGCAUCAGGGUAUUUGAACAAUGGCGCUUGACAAGAAGGCAACGAUAUAUGUUAGCAAUCACUACAUAACAGAAUCUCCUUUCAUGCCGAAUGUAGAAGGUCUAGAAGAAGCCCAAUUUGAUGUUGAAUUAAUUCACUAAUAUUCUUUAUUCAGAUUUUUUAAAGGGGAAUAAUGGAUACAAGAACCUUCUUAAGAGUGCAUUGACAGGUGGUUGUAGUUGCUGAGAUCAGUCUGAAAAUAAAGGAAAAGGGCAUGAGUGUCUAUUCACGUGGCUUAGAAGAAGAAGCAGAUCAGGUGAAGCUAUCAGAUUCUUUGGUGAGAAUGAAUUCAACCAGAUGCACAUGCGGGACUCUUAUAUGUGGCUUCUGUAAAACUUGUUGCAGUAGGGGAAGGUAUCUGCGUCAACUUUUUAGAAGAUAUAGAAAUAUCCACGGGGCUAGAGAGGCUGCUCUACAUUGGGUUUGGAGAUAAACUAAUGUGCUUAUCAAGUGACAUUUUCAGCUAAUUCUUUAGCCUGUUUGUGGUGUAAAGUCGUCUACAUUUCGAACCUGCGUUUCCCCUUUCAAACUGUCCGUAACUUAAUUUUUGCUUUUGAUCUGUGUAUUGUUGUAUAAAUAGAGAAGAACUAUUGUUUUGUCGCAUAAAAAUAUUUGGUUAACAAUAUUAAAAACUCUUUAGCCAU